GCCAGCGGGCGCGGCCGCCUCGCCCUGCGGAUGGUGGCGCGCAGCCCCGGGCGGAGGGAGGCGCCUCUCUUCUCCUUCUCCCGAGCUUGCCGUCCUGUGUCCCCGCCGCACGAAACGACCGCCACCCGUGUCACCCAGGCGGGCGCUUUUCACUAAAGAGCACCCCGCCCCACCCUGUUUUGGUUCCCCGCAAUCGCGGCACCCCCCUCCCUGUCCCCGUGCUGGCUAAAAUUUCCUGCGCUUUCCUUUCACGCUUUUUCCUUCGGAGUCCUUGCCGCAAAGGGUUAAUCUACCAGCCGCUGGAAGCCCGAGGAGCCCCCGGUGCUGCUAGCCAGCGCCCCAGACUCCCUCUCUCUCUUUACGUUCCUCUAGGCAAGACACGGUUUCCUACACCCUGAUCUGACACGCUCUGUGUCAUACAAGCAGAUACGGAGGACUUCUAGCUUCGAUCAUUUCCUUCCGUCCCUUUGGAUCGAGAAUUAUUUUACCCCGCUCCCCCCCCAGAACGGGUGUUACUGUUACAUUAUGUGCUUUCGGGGCGUGUCAUUUGCUGGAAAUAAAAACAUCUUGAUCAGCUGAAGAAGCAGAAUAAUUCUGACUCUUUUCAAUGUGACUGGAAUGUUUUCUGGGACUGCCAAAAUUUUCAGGAUGACUUUGAGUAAAACCCAAAAAUAAAUCUUUUGUGUAACUUC